rnacentral:rRNA from 1 species
AUGUCUCGCAUGAAGCUCAUCUGCUUCCUCCUGCUCGGAGCCGUAGGACUAGGAGCACUUGAUCUCGUAGCCAGCCUGGUGGACGACCAGUUUGUGUACUCCGGCUUCGCCGGCGCCGGCCUCACGUUGGACGGCUCGGCCACGGUCACGCCAAGCGGCCUCCUCGAGCUGACCAACGGCUCGCUCCAGUUGAAAGGCCACGCCUUCCACCCGACUCCGCUCCGCUUCCGUGAGCUACCCAACGGCACGGUGCGCUCCUUCGCCGCUUCGUUCGUGUUCGGCAUCCUCUCCGCCUACCCCGACAUGAGCGCGCACGGUAUCGUCUUCGUCGUUGCUCCCACCACGGAUUUCUCGACCGCGCUGGCGAGCCAGUACCUGGGCCUUGUCAACGUCCAGAACAACGGCCACGAGAGCAACCGCAUCUUCGCCGUCGAGCUGGACACCUUGCAGCAGGACGAGUUCCGUGACAUCAACGACAACCAUGUGGGCGUUGACAUCAACGGCCUCGUCUCGCUGCAAUCCAGCAACGCCGGCUACUACGUCGGCGGCGACAAGGAGCGCUUCGAGAACCUGACGCUCAUAAGCCACGAGGCGAUGCAAGUGUGGAUCGACUACGACGCGGGGACUAAUCGGAUCAACGUGGCCUUGGCUCCGCUCGGCGUGGCCAAACCUGCCAGGCCACUGAUGUCGGCCACCUACAACUUAUCUUCGGUGAUCACGAGCACCGCAUACGUGGGGUUCUCGUCGGCGACGGGCUCAUUCGACUCGCGGCACUACGUGCUUGGCUGCAGUUUCCGCAUGGGCAGCACUACUGCUCCGGCCAUGGACAUCGCCAAGCUGCCAACGUUGCCCCGUGAGAUCCCCAAGGUUCGGUCCAAGGUCCUGCAGAUCGUCCUCCCAAUAACAUCUGCAGCGGUCGUACUCGCUCUGGGCACCGUCGUCGUUCUCCUGUUGCGCAGGCGACGAAGGUACACCGAGCUACGGGAAGAUUGGGAGGUCGAGUUCGGGCCGCACAGGUUUCCGUUCAAGGAUCUACACCACGCCACCCAAGGAUUUAACAGCAAGAACCUACUCGGCGUAGGGGGUUUCGGGCGAGUUUACAGAGGCGUGCUUCCAGAUUGUAAUAUGGAGAUCGCAGUGAAGAGGGUGUCGCAUGACUCCAGACAGGGCGUCAAGGAAUUCAUCGCAGAGGUUGUCAGCCUAGGACGCCUGCAACACUGCAACCUGGUGCGGUUGCUUGGCUAUUGCCGGCGGAAGGGGGAGCUCCUUUUGGUGUACGAGCACAUGCCCAACGGGAGCCUUGACAAGCACCUAUAUGGUCAUCAGGACGACAAGCCGACUCUCAACUGGGCUCAGAGGUUUCAAAUCAUCAAAGGGAUUGCAUCUGGCUUGCUCUACCUCCACGAGGAGUGGGAGAGGGUGGUGGUCCACCGCGACAUCAAGGCAAGCAACGUGCUCCUCGACGACAAGAUGAAUGGCCGGCUGGGUGACUUCGGCCUGGCGAGGCUGUACGACCAUGGCACCGACCCGCAAAGCACGCAUGUGGUUGGCACCAUAGGGUACAUAGCCCCGGAGCUGGGGCGCACGAGCAAGGCAAGCCCCCUCACCGACGUGUUUGCCUUUGGGACCUUCCUUCUCGAGGUCACCUGCGGGCGAAGGCCCAUAUUCCAAGACCCGCGUGGUAACCAGGUUAUGCUGGUGGAUUGGGUGCUCGAGCACUGGCGUAGAGAGUCGCUCGCCGAUGCGGUUGACACCAAGCUCCGAGGUGACUACAACAUUGACGAGGCGUGCCUCGUGCUCCAGCUAGGUCUGUCGUGCUCGCAUCCGUUCGUCAACGCAAGACCCAACAUGAGGCAAGUAAUGCAAUACCUCAGCAAUGAGGUGCCACUGCCGCAGCUCAUGUCCACCAAAAUGAGUUUUCAUACGCUUGCGAUGAUGCAGAACGAGGGUUUCGACUCGUACAUCCAGUCAUCGUAUUCGUUUUCCAAAGCAAGCGUUUCCACGACUUGUGUCCUCUCAUGA